UUGGUUUGUUCUUCUAUUUUUAUAAAUUUCAAUGAACUAUCUAUAUGAUCUUUUCCUCUUUAAUAUGUUUCCUUUUUUUGUGUGGUCUUGUUUUGAAAAUUUCACUGAUACACUCAAGUUAUGGCUGCAAGAACUCCAUGCUCCAUAUGUUGACAGAGUUUUCUGUCAAGAUGUUGCUAGAACAUUUUGAAGAAUAUUCUAUUCUUCCUUGCUGUUACAAUGCAAGAAUUCAAUUUUUAUGCCCAUCAAAAAUUAUAAAAGCUGUAGCUAGACGAGCUAGCUACUUGUUGAUGACUUCACCACACAUCAUCUCUUAUUGGAUGAUUGUGGUUCAUACUUUGCUAUACAAGGACCAUAUUAUAGGUCCUUGUUAUCAGCAUUUCAAAUCACUAUUGUAGAUACAAACAAAUUUUCAUGGGAUGAAGAUAAAGAUAUCUAUAAUGUCACCGUUCUAUCCGAAAUAGAUGAGCCGAAAUAUUGGGUUGGAUUCCCUGAGUGCAAUAAUCUAGCCGCUGAUUGUGAGAAACCUUUCUAUAGUACUUACUUCACGGAAGCAACAGAUAUUUCCCAACAAGAAAUGAACAGAAUUGUCACUUGCUAUAGGAAGUAUAUGAGGAGUCCGCAUUAUCCUAACCAUGCUCCUAAUUUCAUUAUACAUAGGCUUGAUAGUGAUGAAUAUGCCAAGUGGGUAGUUCCAUUCGAAGCUAUAAAAACAAGUUGUUCUACCAAGGAAGGGUGAUGCUAUUUAUGCAUGCAAUGAUUAUACUGUCGACAGAACUUACAAAAUAAUAGAUGAUGACACUAUCAUUUUCCGUGAACACUGGUCUGAUUUACGGGUGGUCAAUAGCUUAUUCUUUGGAAACUUAUUCAUUGCCAAGGUAGUGACAAAUGAAAAUGUCAUAUAACUGGAUAUUUUAAUUUUUUAGGAACACAAGGAUCUUUUCUCUACAUUUUGUAAUAAUUUUUUAUAAAUUUUUUUAGAUUUGUAUUUCAUGAAGA